UACAGAGGGUGCAAGCGUUGUUCGGAAUUAUUGGGCGUAAAGCGCGUGUAGGCGGCUUAGCAAGUCGGGCGUGAAGGCCCUCGGCUCAACCGAGGAAGUGCACCCGAAACUGCUGAGCUUGAGUGCCGGAGAGGAUGGCGGAAUUCCCCAAGUAGAGGUGAAAUUCGUAGAUAUGGGGAGGAACACCGGUGGCGAAGGCGGCCAUCUGGACGGUAACUGACGCUGAGACGCGAAAGCGUGGGGAGCAAACAGG
rnacentral:rRNA from 1 species